GAAUCUUGCGCAAUGGGCGAAAGCCUGACGCAGCAACGCCGCGUGGGGGAUGAAGGCUUUCGGGUUGUAAAUCCCUUUCAGCAGGGACGAUUAUGACGGUACCUGCAGAAGAAGGACCGGCCAACUACGUGCCAGCAGCCGCGGUAAUACGUAGGGUCCAAGCGUUGUCCGGAUUUAUUGGGCGUAAAGAGCUCGUAGGCGGCUCAGUAAGUCGGAUGUGAAAACUCGGGGCUCAACCCCGAGACGCCAUCCGAUACUGCUGUGGCUUGAGUCUGGUAGGGGAGAUCGGAAUUCCUGGUGUAGCGGUGAAAUGCGCAGAUAUCAGGAGGAACACCGGUGGCGAAGGCGGAUCUCUGGGCCAGUACUGACGCUGAGGAGCGAAAGCGUGGGUAGCAAACAG
rnacentral:rRNA from 1 species